UACGUAGGGUGCGAGCGUUGUCCGGAAUUAUUGGGCGUAAAGAGCUUGUAGGUGGUUUGUCGCGUCUGCUGUGAAAAUCCGGGGCUCAACCCCGGACUUGCAGUGGGUACGGGCAGACUAGAGUGUGGUAGGGGAGACUGGAAUUCCUGGUGUAGCGGUGAAAUGCGCAGAUAUCAGGAGGAACACCGAUGGCGAAGGCAGGUCUCUGGGCCACUACUGACGCUGAGAAGCGAAGGCAUGGGGAGCGAACAGG
rnacentral:rRNA from 1 species